AUGAACGCUGACAGAAUGCUUAACCCAUGCAAGUCUUUGGCGAAGCUGUGCUUGCACAGCCUAGCCAAGGCGGACGGGUGAGUAACGCGUAAGGAACUUGCCCUGCAGUCAGGGAUAACAGACGGAAACGACUGAUAAGACCUGGUAAAGUCAGGCGGACUCAUGUCCAGCCUGAUGAAAAGAGAUGCUGCAGGAGAGCCUUGCGUCCUAUUAGCUUGUUGGUGGGGUAACGGCCCACCAAGGCGAUGAUAGGUAGCCGGCCUGAGAGGGUGGACGGCCACAAGGGGACUGAGAUACGGCCCUUACUCCUACGGGAGGCAGCAGUGGGGAAUAUUGGACAAUGGGGGCAACCCUGAUCCAGCAAUUCUGUGUGCAGGAUGAAGGUUUUCGGAUUGUAAAGUGCUUUCAGCAGGGAAGAAAAAAUGACGGUACCUGCAGAAGAAGCGACGGCUAAAUACGUG
rnacentral:rRNA from 1 species